rnacentral:rRNA from 1 species
GGUCAAGUUAUUAAGGGUGCAGGGCGGAUGCCUUGGCACUAGGAGCCGAUGAAGGACGUGAUAAGCUGCGAUAAGCUUCGGGGAGUUGCACGUAAACUUUGAUCCGAAGAUUUCCGAAUGAGGAAACUCACUUAGAGUAAUGUCUAAGUAUCAUUAAGUGAAUACAUAGCUUAAUGAGGGGAACUCAGGGAACUGAAACAUCUAAGUACCUGAAGGAAGAGAAAGAAAUUCGAUUCCGUAAGUAGCGGCGAGCGAACGCGGAUUAGCCCAAACCAAUAAAGUUUUCUUUAUUGGGGUUGCGGACAUAUCAUAACGAAGAGGUAUCGUAAUUGAAGAGGUUUGGAAAGA